UUUUUUAAUGGUUCCAAAGAAUAUGUCAUUAACCUAUAUUCCAUUUUAUUGGUCAAAACUUUACUGUCUCUGAUAUUUACCAUUCUCUCUCUCUCAUAAUAUCCCCACAUCUUCAAUGUCUACAUCAACGUCAUACCUACAAACUAUUCUGACUAAAACUUAACGCCUCCAGUUUUUUUCUUCAGAAAAAAAGCCUUUUGUGCUUAAAAACUUCCAUCUAUGUAGACAAAUUAUAAGGCGAGCAAUUUUCUUCAGUGUUACCUCUGCAGACAUUUGCCCAGAAAAAGACUAAUAGCAAAGUAGAUGAACCAAUCGACUUGAUAUUUUUCAGGCAAUGCUCUAAUAUUCUAGGUUCAACUGACCCACAGGCCAUUUCUUACAAGGUAUGUGAACCACCAGGAAAAGGACACGGUUCAGAGGUUUGAGGGGACAGUCAUUUGCCAGGGUCUGGCUGCAGGUUUCACUGAUGAGCAAAGGACCUCUAAGGAGAGACGACAGUGUAACCUGUGGGGCUCUGCUGAUGAUGGAGUCGAGCCCAAUUCUUGGAUUUUCAAUGAUCAGAGACUUGCUCCUUGAUCAGUUCUAUUUUAGAUUUGCUUACCUUAAUGUCUCAGCACUCAGCCCUUGCCUACCUGCUUACCUUUCAGUCUGCAAUCUCAGGCUGGAAUCUGACACUAGUUUGGUCAACUCAUCAGCUUGUUAAUGCCCUAGCCCUGCAGAGGCAGACUCACUUUCUAUCCUUCAGCUGGUGUUGUAAGCUUAGAUCCUAAUUCCUGCUUCUAAGUCUCCAUCCAGACUUCAUUCUUGAUGCUGAUAAUCAGUUGUAUUUUCCAAUCCCAACUUAAAUUCAAGUUCUAACAGUGAUGUGACUUCCCUACAAAAUGAAUCACAACUGGAAAGCUGUUUUUCAUGUCACUCUAGAUGCAUCUCUAUGAAGCAGAAAUGAGCUCAAUAAAAAAGGAAAUUAAGGGGCACCUGGGUGGCUCAGUGGUUGAGUGCCUGCCUUUGGCUCAGGUCAUGAUCCCGGGGUCCUAGGAUCGAAUCCCACAUCAGGCUCCCCGCAGGGGAUCUGCUUCUCCCUCUGCCUGUGUCUCUGCCUCUCUCUGUGUGUCUCUCAUGAAUAAAUAAAUAAAAUCCUUAAAAAAAAAAAGAAAAGGAAAUUAAGAAAUUACUACAGACAUGAAAUUUUCACUAAAGGUCUUUAAAUAAUAAAAUAGCUUCUCUUUUCAAAUUUAUUAUUAAUUUUUAGUCUCUAUAAAGUUAUUAGGAAUAAAGGGAAAAUCGCUCUUAUUUCUAACACUCAGAGAUAAUCACUGUUAACAUUUUGACACAUAUCCUUCCAGACUAUUCUUUUCCAUCAAUAAAUAGAUAGGUAAAUAGAUACAAAAAUGAGGUCAUGUUAUAAUUUCUAUUAUUUUGUGACUACCUUUAUUGCCUUAAAAAAGACAAAGACCAUCUUGUGGCUGAGUGAAGUAAGUCAGUCGGAGAAGGACAAACAUUAUAUGUUCUCAUUCAUGUGGGGAAUAUAAAUAAUAGUGAAAGGGAAUAUAAGGGCAGGGAGAAGAAAUGUGUGGGAAAUAUCAGAAAGGGAGACAGAACGUAAAGACUGCUAACUCUGGAAAACGAACUAGGGGUGGUAGAAGGGGAGGAGGGCGGGAGGUGGGAGUGAUUGGGUGGCACUGGGGGUUAUUCUGUAUGUUGGUAAAUUGAACACCAAUAAAAAAUAAAUAAAUAAAUAAAUAAAAUAAAAUAAAAUAAAAUAAAACCUUAAAAAAAAAAAAGACCAUCUUGUGGCACAAUUUUUUCUUUAUAUCACCACUUUAAUGGCAAAAUAGAAUUCCAUUGUAGGAAGGUACCAUAAUUUAUUAGGCAUCUAUUUAAAUAAUCUUUUCCAUGAAGGUACAUGUUUGAUGAAUGAUAAUUUGUUACAGCUGAAGACCAAAUACAGUCAACUACAAGAUGCUAAAGAAACCUUAGGUACACCCCAAGAUUAAUGACUGAAAAGAAUUACUAAUAAGAUCUUUCAUGCCUUAUUACUGGCACAUAAACAAGAUGGUACUAAACAUUCAAACUUCUGAUCUGGAUAAAAUCUACGAAUAUGUCUUCUUGCCCGGUAUUUUUACUGCCAUUGUCUCCUUAAGCAACUAGGAAAUUCAAUGAAAUCUAAACGUUCCUCUCAGCUCUAUCACAACAGACCAGGUAAACAGCUCUAUCUGCUUAAUAUGUUAAGAAAAGAGCCAGAGAAAUGUAAUACCUCAGAAACCAUUAAAAAAUAAUAAAAGUUUCACAAUGAAAACAACCAAAAAACACGCCCUCCUCAUUUUAUUAGGAAGAAACACAGUACCUCUUACGGCCAAGGGCAGGGGUAGGAGUUAAGGAAAAAUAAUAAUUACAUACUAUUUUUCACAAGCAUUUGUAUGAGAUUUUAAAAGAACAAAAAACGUCAAGCUAUACAUAGCGGCAGACUAUAGAAAAUACAACUAUUGUGAAUCACUCCAUCCUAGAAAGCAGAAAGACUAGGAUUUGUAGACACCACCAGGCAGAUGUUUACCACUAAAACUCUCCUCCAGAUGUUAAUACAGAACAAGCAAAUACUUGAAUUUAAUAUGCUUCUUUACAUAUGCGUAAUUUUUCCCCCAAAUAUGUAAAGAUUUAUACCUCUACAAUACUACACGAUUUCAAGAUACCUAAAUACAGUGUCCAAUAACUUUGUUUACAUGGUAAACGUGAUUAUAAAUUUCUUUUAGACUCAGAUGUAUAAUAACUACUUCCUGAUUUCUAAGAGAAUCAACGUGAAUUGAAAAUUACAGUACAGGUAGAGGAAAUGUCAUUUAUUUGAUCAUACAUUCUUUCCAUAAGCCUCUAUGAUCGGACUUUAGGAUCCAAAUCUUGCCGGAAAUUCUCUUUUCCAUGGUCAUCAGUGACUUCCUUCAUACAAUAUGCAGCACUUCUCAUUCUUACAUUUUCCUUUCCUAGCAUUUCUUAUGUGGAGGCUGAGAAAAUUAAGGCCAUUCCACUUUAAGUUCCGCGUUAGCACAAGUACAGCCAUCCCAGGCCCCUGUGAAUAAGAGCUGAACUUUACUUCAGUUACAGGAAGAAAACAGCUUACAGCUUAACGUCCUAGAAAGCCCCAUAUUAGAAUAAAAACAGAGCCCAAGCCAAGGGCAGGAAGCCCCUACUAGAAUAAGAACAGAGCUCAAUGCCC
rnacentral:lncRNA from 1 species